rnacentral:rRNA from 1 species
AGAGUUUGAUCCUGGCUCAGGAUGAACGCUGGCGGCGUGCUUAACACAUGCAAGUCGAACGAACCUUCGGGUUAGUGGCGGACGGGUGAGUAACGCGUGAGAAUCUGCCCUCAGGAGGGGGAUAACGGCUGGAAACGGCCGCUAAUACCCCAUAUGCCGAGAGGUGAAAUGAAUUUCGCCUGAGGAUGAGCUCGCGUCUGAUUAGCUUGUUGGUGUGGUAAAGGCUCACCAAGGCAUCGAUCAGUAGCUGGUCUGAGAGGAUGAUCAGCCACACUGGGACUGAGACACGGCCCAGACUCCUACGGGAGGCAGCAGUGGGGAAUUUUCCGCAAUGGGCGCAAGCCUGACGGAGCAACGCCGCGUGAGGGAUGAAGGCCUCUGGGCUGUAAACCUCUUUUAUCAAGGAAGAAGAUCUGACGGUACUUGAUGAAUAAGCCACGGCUAAUUCCGUGCCAGCAGCCGCGGUAAUACGGGAGUGGCAAGCGUUAUCCGGAAUUAUUGGGCGUAAAGCGUCCGCAGGCGGUCUUGAAAGUCUGUUGUUAAAGCGUGGAGCUCAACUCCAUUUCAGCAAUGGAAACUAGAAGACUAGAGUGUGGUAGGGGCAGAGGGAAUUCCCGGUGUAGCGGUGAAAUGCGUAGAUAUCGGGAAGAACACCAGUGGCGAAGGCGCUCUGCUGGGCCAUAACUGACGCUCAUGGACGAAAGCCAGGGGAGCGAAAGGGAUUAGAUACCCCUGUAGUCCUGGCCGUAAACGAUGAACACUAGGUGUCGGGGGAAUCGACCCCCUCGGUGUCGUAGCCAACGCGUUAAGUGUUCCGCCUGGGGAGUACGCACGCAAGUGUGAAACUCAAAGGAAUUGACGGGGGCCCGCACAAGCGGUGGAGUAUGUGGUUUAAUUCGAUGCAACGCGAAGAACCUUACCAGGGUUUGACAUCCUGCGAAUCCCUUGGAAACUUGGGAGUGCCUUCGGGAGCGCAGUGACAGGUGGUGCAUGGCUGUCGUCAGCUCGUGUCGUGAGAUGUUGGGUUAAGUCCCGCAACGAGCGCAACCCACGUCUUUAGUUGCCAGCAUUAAGUUGGGCACUCUAGAGUGACUGCCGGUGAUAAACCGGAGGAAGGUGUGGAUGACGUCAAGUCAUCAUGCCCCUUACAUCCUGGGCUACACACGUACUACAAUGCUACGGACAAAGGGCAGCAAACUCGCGAGAGCUAGCAAAUCCCAUAAACCGUGGCUCAGUUCAGAUCGUAGGCUGCAACUCGCCUACGUGAAGGAGGAAUCGCUAGUAAUCGCAGGUCAGCAUACUGCGGUGAAUACGUUCCCAGGCCUUGUACACACCGCCCGUCACACCAUGGAAGUUGGCCACGCCCGAAGUCGUUAC